rnacentral:tRNA from 1 species
UUUUAGCCUUCCUUUUAUUUUUUCGCAAGAUGAAUAUUCCACCCACGAUUCAACAUCAUAGCUCGUAGAU